CGCCCGCCCGCCAGAGAAUUACAAGUGAAAAGCUUGAAACUCAAAGGACUUGACGGUGUCCCACAUCCCCCUAGAGGAGCCUGUCCUAUAAUCGAUACUCCACGCUAAACCUCCCCUACCCUAGUACUUCAUCAGCCUAUAUACCGCCGUCGCCAGCCUGCCUAGUGAUAGCCACACAGCAAGCAAAAAAGACCCCCCCCCUAAUACGUCAGGUCAAGGUGUAGCUCAUGGGUGGGUAAGAGAUGGGCUACNUUUUCUAAUCACCAGAAAAUCUACCACAAGCUGUGUGAAACCNCAGCCCCCCGGCGGAUUUAGCAGUAAAUUCGGGCAAGAUGAGCCUAGUUGAAGCCAGCCCUGGGACGCGUACACACCGCCCGUCACCCUCCUCAAAACAUAACCCUUAGACAAAAUAAUUAAACCCCCCCCCACACCACAAGAUGAGGUAAGUCGUAACAUGGUAAGCCCACCGGAAGGCGGGCUUGGCUCUCC
rnacentral:rRNA from 1 species